rnacentral:ncRNA from 1 species
UCCCAAAAACACAAAGUUUUGGUCCUAAACUUGCCGUUGUUUUUUAUCAAAAUUAUACAUGCAAGCCUCCACAUACCAGUGAGAAUGCCCAUACACCCCUAAACAGCCAACCGGAGCAGGCAUCAGGAUACAACACUUAGCCAAGGACGCCUUGCACAUGCCACACCCACACGGGCUUUCAGCAGUAACUAACAUUUUAUAUGAGCGAAAGCUCGACUCAGUUAUGAUUAAUAUGGUCGGUAAAUUUCGUGCCAGCCACCGCGGUUAUACGAAAGACCAAAAACAACAACUAACGGCGUAAAGUGUGACUAGGGACAACAAUUAAUCACUAAAGGAAAACAACUGCCAAGUUGUAAAACACUACUGCAUAUUAGAACCACAAUAACAAAAACCUUUAAACCCCCUCCCCACCUCACGAAAGCUAAGAAACAAACUGGGAUUAGAUACCCCACUAUGCUCAGCCCUAAACAUAAAUAGUACAAACACAAUACUAUCCGCCAGAGAACUACAAGCGAAAAGCUAAAAACUCCAAGGACUUGGCGGUGCUUCAAAUCAACCUAGAGGAGCCUGUCCUAUAAUCGAUACCCCACGCUUAACCUUACCUCUCCUAGCCAACCAGCCUAUAUACCGCCGUCGUCAGCCUACCUUAUGAAAGUAAUAAAGUGAGCAAAAAAGUUUUUUACUAACACGUCAGGUCAAGGUGUAGCACACGGAGAGGCAGAGAUGGGCUACAUUUUCUCAAAGAAAAAAUACGAAUAGUUUUCUGAAAUAUACACUUGAAGGAGGAUUUAGUAGUAAAAUAAAAAAGAAUAAUCAUUUUAAACCUGCUCUGAAGCGCGCACACACGGCCCGUCACCCUCAUCG